rnacentral:tRNA from 1 species
GCGUUUGUAGUCCAACGUUUAGGAUAAAUUGCCUUUCCAAGCAAUAGACCCCGGGUUCGACUCCUGGCAAACGCA